rnacentral:tRNA from 1 species
GCCGCAAUAGCUCAGCUGGUAGAGCAGUUGAUUUGUAAUCAUCAGGUCCCGGGUUCGACUCCUGGUUGCGGCACCA